AUACUUACCUUGUUCCAGUGCCUCGAGAUCAAGAAAACGGGGCACUAGUCUGAGAGGCCUGCAUUGCACAGCGCGGAGUCGACUCAUGCUCAAUUGCCCUUCGGGGCCAUUGGGGGCGUAAUUUUUGAUUUCACACUCUUUCAUUGUGGUUCGGAGCU
rnacentral:snRNA from 20 species